UACGGAGGAUGCGAGCGUUAUCCGGAUUUAUUGGGUUUAAAGGGUGCGCAGGCGGGCUUUUAAGUCAGCGGUGAAAUCUGGACGCUCAACGUUCAAAUUGCCGUUGAAACUGAUUGUCUUGAGUGUAAACGAAGUAGGCGGAAUUCGUUGUGUAGCGGUGAAAUGCAUAGAUAUAACGAGGAACCCCAAUUGCGUAGGCAGCUUACUAGGAUACAACUGACGCUCAAGCACGAAAGCGUGGGGAUCAAACAGG
rnacentral:rRNA from 1 species